GUCUAAGUAUAAGCAACUAUACGGUGAAACUGCGAAUGGCUCAUUAAAUCAGUUAUCGUUUAUUUGAUAGUACCUUACUACAUGGAUAACCGUGGUAAUUCUAGAGCUAAUACAUGCUAAAAACCCCAACUUCGGGAGGGGUGUAUUUAUUAGAUAAAAAACCAAUGCCCUUCGGGGCUCCUUGGUGAAUCAUAAUAACUUAACGAAUCGCAUGGCCUUGCGCCGGCGAUGGUUCAUUCAAAUUUCUGCCCUAUCAACUUUCGAUGGUAGGAUAGUGGCCUACCAUGGUAUCAACGGGUAACGGGGAAUUAGGGUUCUAUUCCGGAGAGGGAGCCUGAGAAACGGCUACCACAUCCAAGGAAGGCAGCAGGCGCGCAAAUUACCCAAUCCCGACACGGGGAGGUAGUGACAAUAAAUACUGAUACAGGGCUCUUUUGGGUCUUGUAAUUGGAAUGAGUACAAUUUAAAUCCCUUAACGAGGAACAAUUGGAGGGCAAGU
rnacentral:rRNA from 2 species